rnacentral:rRNA from 1 species
AUUGAACGCUGGCGGCAGGCCUAACACAUGCAAGUCGAACGGUAACAGGAAUGGUCUUGCUUCUUGGCUGGCGAGUGGCGGGCGGGUGAGUGAUGUCUGGGAAACUGCCUGAUGGAGGGGGAUAAGUACUGGAAACGGUAGCUAAUACCGCAUAACGUCGCAAGACCAAAGAGGGGGACCUUCUGGCCUCUGGCCAUCGGAUGGGCCAAGAUUGGAUUAGCUAGUAGGUGGUGUAACGUCUCACCUAGGCGGCGAUCCCUAGCUGGUCUGAGAGGAUGACUCGGUACCUUGGCAGUGAGAAAGGGCCGAGACUCCUACGGGAGGACGCAGCGGGGACUAUUGCACAAUGGGCGAAAGCGUGAUGCAGCAAUGCCGCGUGUAUGAAGAAGGACUUAGGGUUGUAAAGUAAUGUCAGCGGGGAGGAAGGGAGUCACGUUAAUACCUUUGCUCAUUGACGUUACCCGAAGAAGAAGCACCGGCUAACUUCGUG